GCUUGCACUUUGGAAACUUGCAGACUGACGUGUGCAUGGUCAUGAAUCUCAGCGUUUUUAUUUUUUGUGCAGCAGCGUACUGCCUUUGCGGUACAGUAACGGCUCGCACACUAGACCAAGCCAGAGCAGCACCUGGAGGCGAAGGAGAAAAGAACCAGUACAAACUGCCUCUAUUUGUGCGUUUCCAAACGGGAAUCUUCGGCGUCGACGUCUCUACCAAAACCAGCACAGAAGCAUUCAGCUGUUUGAGAAGAGACGGUAAAGAAUUUGCGAUCGUUCGUGCUUUCCGGAGCAUCGGUAAAACUGACGUCAACGCACCUUCGACGAUUGCAAGUGCUUGGGCUGGUGGCUUUGGUCGCGUUGACGUUUACAUAUUUCCAUGCUUUAGUUGCGGUAAUCCGAGUUCCCAAGUGACGAGAACAGUUGAUUGGCUAAGAAACAGCCGAUACGGGAUGAUCUGGAUUGACGUGGAGCAAAAGAAGUACUGGUCAGAUAACCAAGCAGCCAAUCGGAAGUUCUUCACAGAAAUGUUACAAACAGCACAGAGAUACAAGCCAACAGGAGUCUACACUUCAAUGAAUUACUGGACCCAAAUCAUGGGCUUUGAUUUCACUGGUGCAGCACACGUGCCUCUCUGGUAACAAAGAAAUAACCGAAGAUAUCGAUUGCAGCAUGUGGGUUCUGACGGAAGACGAGAAGCACUGUGAACGUGUGGAUACGCCACGUGCAAUGUUUGUUGCGAGGUCCCGGAUGUGCUGAAUGUCCAAUUCGAAUCUUGCUCUUCUCGCUUUUUUCGAUAGAAAUCGACAUACUCCCCGUAGCGCUUGCUGAAGAAAACGUGUAGGUUGGAUUCGGUGCAAAUUCAAUCAGAAGAUGGAGAGAAACGAAAGCACUAAAAAAGUAGGUUCAAUCGGCAAGAAAUAUUCGAUUGCUCGAGGCUUUGCCAAGGACGACGACACGUAAAGUCUACACAGGACUGGUACCCGCAUUUCGAGACAGCCCCAUCGUUUAGUGAUUUUACAUCGUUUGGAGGAUGGGCAAGACCAAACAUCAAACAAUUCGAUGCAGAUAACAAUGUGUGUGGAGCUGUCGUAGAUGUGAAUUGGCACCCUUAAUCGAG